CGAAGGCUUCGGCCUUAGUGGCGCACGGGUGCGUAACGCGUGGGAAUCUGCCCNUAGGUUCGGAAUAACAGNUGGAAACUGCUGCUAAUACCGGAUGAUGNCGUNAGNNCAAAGAUUUAUCGCCUNNGGAUGAGCCCGCGUAGGAUUAGGUAGUUGGUGUGGUAAAGGCGCACCAAGNCGACGAUCCUUAGCUGGUCUGAGAGGAUGAUCAGCCACACUGGGACUGAGACACGGCCCAGACUCCUACGGGAGGCAGCAGUGGGGAAUAUUGGACAAUGGGCGAAAGCCUGAUCCAGCAAUGCCGCGUGAGUGAUGAAGGCCUUAGGGUUGUAAAGCUCUUUUACCCGGGAUGAUAAUGACAGUACCGGGAGAAUAAGCUCCGGCUAACUCCGUGCCAGCAGCCGCGGUAAUACGGAGGGAGCUAGCGUUAUUCGGAAUUACUGGGCGUAAAGCGCACGUAGGCGGCUUUGUAAGUUAGAGGUGAAAGCC
rnacentral:rRNA from 1 species